GUUUACACUUUUUUUAGAAAAAA
rnacentral:tRNA from 2 species